rnacentral:rRNA from 1 species
UCAGGACGAACGCUGGCGGCGUGCCUAACACAUGCAAGUCAACGGGGAUUUGUUUCGGCAGAAUCCUAGUGGCGAACGGGUGAGUAACGCGUAGGCAACCUGCCCUCCGGCCGGGGACAACACUCCGAAAGGGGUGCUAAUACCGGAUACGAAGUCUGUGCCGCAUGGUACGGAUUUGAAAGAUGGCCUCUAUUUAUAAGCUAUCGCCGGGGGAUAGGCCUGCGUCCGAUUAGCUGGUUGGUGGGGUAACGGCCUACCAAGGCGACGAUCGGUAGCCGGUCUGAGAGGAUGAACGGCCACAUUGGGACUGAGACACGGCCCAGACUCCUACGGGAGGCAGCAGUGGGGAAUCUUCCGCAAUGGGCGCAAGCCUGACGGAGCAACGCCGCCGUGAGUGAGGAAGUUCUUCGGAACGUAAAGCUCUGUUGUUCCUGACGAACCUCCCCUCUAUCAACAACGGAGGGGACUGACGGUAGGGAACGAGGAAGCCACGGCUAACUACGUGCCAGCCGCGGC